rnacentral:lncRNA from 1 species
GCGCCGGCUGCGGCCGGUCGGGGCUCCCGGCAGGAGGGCGCCGGGGCCUGGGGCGCGCGUGCCCAAGUCCCGAGAGGCGGCGGCUGCGCCACUGCGGGGCGCGGCGACUCGCUGGGCAGCGGGGACUCGGCGGCCCUGCAGCUCUCGCGUCCCUCCUCCUGCCUCCCUGCGUGACCCGCCUGCUUUGGAGGGCACGCAAGGUCCGCAGUGGGUGCGGGGACGUCCGCAGAACUGGGCCCCCGAAUCUCCGUGGACCUGGGACAGAAACCACGCGCUGGAGCAUCUCAACCUCUGUCUCCAACAACCGGUCCACAGCCAGCUUGCGGCAGAAACCAGAGCACAGACUGCAGGGGCCGGAAGAAGAAGAAGAAGAAGAAAGAGUGAUGUUAAAAUUUUGAAUUCAGAAACAGUUGCCAUGUGGGGAAUUGAUUUUGGCUUGAAACAGGCCACCCGCUUCUCAUCAGUGGCUCCUGGCAGGGUUCCCGGGCUCAGGACACGCCUCCUCCACUCAUUUCCUGGGAAGUCUGUUCCUCUGAGGGCCAUCUCCUCGCCCUUGCAUCACACCUGGAUGCGGUUUCCUUGAGCUGCUGGGUGGCGUUGCCCUGCUCCACUCACUCCACGGCUGUCUUGGCUCCAACAUCCCCUGCCUUUCCUCCUGCUCCUGCCAGCUGAUGGAGAAGGGGCAUUCUGAAGAGAGCAGAGGGCAGUAGCAUGGGGCCGGGGCCUGGGGGUGGAGCUGGGGUGAAGCUCAGGCAGAUAACAGGGGUCAAGGGGGGUCUGAGGCAGCCAGAACCGCCUCCACGAGCCUGUUCCAGCUCCCAGCAGGCUCACUUAGGCUCCCUCGGCCGCCUGGCUCAGAUCUCUUUUCUUAAUCCAAUAAAGGGGCACUUGCCUACA